rnacentral:rRNA from 1 species
GACGAACGCUGGCGGCGUGCUUAACACAUGCAAGUCGAACGGAAAGGCCCUGCUUUUGUGGGGUGCUCGAGUGGCGAACGGGUGAGUAACACGUGAGUAACCUGCCCUUGACUUUGGGAUAACUUCAGGAAACUGGGGCUAAUACCGGAUAGGAGCUCCUGCUGCAUGGUGGGGGUUGGAAAGUUUCGGCGGUUGGGGAUGGACUCGCGGCUUAUCAGCUUGUUGGUGGGGUAGUGGCUUACCAAGGCUUUGACGGGUAGCCGGCCUGAGAGGGUGACCGGCCACAUUGGGACUGAGAUACGGCCCAGACUCUUACGGGAGGCAGCAGUGGGGAAUAUUGCACAAUGGGCGGAAGCCUGAUGCAGCAACGCCGCGUGCGGGAUGACGGCCUUCGGGUUGUAAACCGCUUUCGCCUGUGACGAAGCGUGAGUGACGGUAAUGGGUAAAGAAGCACCGGCUAACUACGUA